rnacentral:lncRNA from 1 species
AUAGGAUAAAAAUUAGGCCCAAAUGGAGAAGUGUUGCAUCCCCUUGAAAUGAGUGCAUGUACAUCACACCUCCUACGGUGGUUGCCAAAGCUCCGAGUGAACCCAAAAUAGGCCUUGGACUUGGAUCUACCAAAUGAUAAGAAUUCCUCUUAAGAUUCAAUCAUAAACUACUUUGCCAAGGUUGUAUGUAAACCCCCCCACCCCCUAAAGUAGUAAAGAAGGGCUCUUUGGGGUCUAAUUUUUAUAUUCUAUCUGACAGGAAAAACAAAUAGGAAGGGAUGGUUCUUUCAUUGCAUUGAUAGAAGUCUAACUAGAAAAAGAUCUUACUAUUACUAUCAAUUUAGGAAGAGAAUCAGAAUGAAAAGAAGCCCAAAAAAAAGCAAAAAAGAACAUAACCUCCGAUACGAUGAACAGAAUAAAACCAUAUCGAGGUCCUAAUUGUACGAUUUUGGUAUGAUGUCCUUCCAACGUGGACUCACGUAGAACAUCGCGCCACCAUACAAACAUAGUAUAUAGGAUAAAAAUUAGGCCCAAAUGGAGAAGUGUUGCACCCCCUUGAAAUGAGUGCAUGUACAUCACACCUCCUACGGUGGUUGCCAAAGCUCCGAGUGAACCCAAAAUAGGCCUUGGACUUGGAUCUACCAAAUGAUAAGAAUUCCUCUUAAGAUUCAAUCAUAAACUACUUUGCCAAGGUUGUAUGUAAACCCCCCCACCCCCUAAAGUAGUAAAGAAGGGCUCUUUGGGGUCUAAUUUUUAUCCUAUAUCUGACAGGACAAACAAAUAGGAAGGGAUGGUUCUUUCAUUGCAUUGAUAGAAGUCUAACUAGAAAAAGAUCUUACUAUCAAUUCAAAAAGAUCUCUCUAUUACUAUCAAUUUAGGAAGAGAAUCGUUGGGUUAACCGACGAACUACAUGGGAGGAUCUUCUUUCUUUUCUUUUUCCAAGACAAGCCCUUAGAAAACACUCACUUACGCCCAUCUGUCGGAUCCUAGCUACCCUUUUGUAACCAAGAAGAAGUCUUCUCUCGUUGACAACCCUGAUGCUACACGUGUGUCAUAUAUACGGAUGCAACAUGUGAAUGAACAUAUGAACAUGUUACAACAGUGGUAGCUUGAACAAACAACAAUGUAUCCCUUCUCUAAUAGCACGUCUCAUUCAUGUUCAAAGCAGCAAGAUAUAACAAGUUUCAUGCUCAAUCAGUAGUAAGUUUACUUCAUCCCCGGAGACCGGUCCAGUAGAGGACCCUUUAGGCGGAAACUACUAUGUUAUCGUGCAUUCUUCAUUCGCAUGAAAGUAUGAAUAUAAGCAAGCUUUCUUAUUCGAAAAAGAGCUAUGGAAGUUUUGUCGGUGUUCUUUCAUCUGUUAUAUAAGAUAUUUCGAAAUUUACAAUCAUGUGACUCGCCCAACCUAUACAAGGGGCUUUCAUCAGUAUUUUGUUGAAGGAUAAACCCUACUAAGGAAAGGAUGAUCUAUAGCUACUCCUAACCCUUAGCCGCCUCGACUGUUCGAAAGACUAACAAGUGGAGGAGGGAGUUCCAAAGCAACUGUGACUCAUGCGGCAGACAAAUUUAUUUCGACUCAUUGAAUGCUAGAAAAUACGCUUCUUUUGUCAGUUAGGUUAGGUGCGAAAGCCCAAAAAUAGGCCUUGGACUUGGAUCUACCAAAUGAUAAGAAUUCCUCUUAAGAUUCAAUCAUAAACUACUUUGCCAAGGUUGUAUGUAAACCCCCCCACCCCCUAAAGUAGUAAAGAAGGGCUCUUUGGGGUCUAAUUUUUUCGAUAGAUAGCAGGUUGCUUCCAAGCUCAAACCAUUUGAAACAACAAGCAACGGAUAAGCUUGAAAGAGGGAGCGGGGAAGGAAGAACAGCCGUUUUACUUUGGCACAUGAGGUGGCGGGUUUGGCUAGGUAACAUAAUGGAAAUGUAUCAGACUGCGAAUGCUAACAGUAUCGAAGCGCACCAAGAGAUUCCCGGUCGAACAAAUUUCGUAUAUAAAAAAAAAGAUGUGUUUUGUCCGUCCUCUUUUUUUUUAUUUAAAAAGAAAGAAAAAACGCUUCUUUUGUCAGUUAGGUUAGGUGCGAAAGCCCAUUAUGGGGGUUGUGUAUAGUGGAUGUUGUGGCUAGGGGGGUACUGUCUUGGUUCAAAUGAAUGCAUCUGAGUUAGCAAGCAGGUGGGGUACAAGAGAAAAAGAAUGUGAUCUUUAGGCUCUGAGUGAGCUAGGCGGUCAUUCUCCUACUCCUUUGAAUGUCUGCUCCUCAUAUGGAAAAUAGGAUGUCGGACUUAGAAUCUGCUUAUUCAAUAUCUUGUCCAGAGUAAAAUAUCACUACACCGGGGUUGUUGGCUUUCACGAAGCAAGACGGAUUUAUAAGAGCGCUACGCUAAUCAUCACCAUUGAGUGUUGGAGCAAUAAUUCUAUGAAAAGGGGAGUUAGACUUUCUAAAAAGCAACUGAAAUCGAGUACAUCAAAUCGAGAGAUCUUCGGAUUUUCGGUCUAUAGGUCGCGCAUUAGUCCCAUAUAUUCCCAUCGAUACAAAAUUAGGAAAUGAUUUGUUGCAAUCUUUGCUUUGGCUGUGGAAGGGGAAAGACUCGUUGCCCUACUGUUAGCUUUGUAAAGUAGUACUCAUAGGGUAAGGACAGGUGGCAUAGCGCAGUCCUAAUCGAUGUGGUGUCCAGUCACAAUCUAGAGAAUAAGA